UGCCUUCCAAAUCAUCACACAAGUCUUUAACGCCUUGUCAAACACUCCGAACUAAAACACUAGUAAGCGAGGAUGAAGGAUUAUUUUAGGGAACAGGAACAUGGUGUCUAACUUUGAAAUCUGAGGUAUCUGCCUAAAUUGAAAAGAAUGCAACAUGAAACCUUUAUAUAUGGGUGGUUAUAAAACUUUAAAAGAAUUAUAUGUUCUCUGAAUUGAUUAUGGAUAGACGUAAGAUAAGAUCCUUGUUAAGUUGCCAUAAAUUUCUCUGUUAAUGAUAUAUGUAAAACAGCAGCAGUCCCACGUUUACCCUAACCCCCAACAUGAGAGGAAAGCUAUAAGUGAGGAUACAUAUUUACAACAAAUAUAUAUAACUAUAUAUUUUACCUUAAAACGCUCAAAGAAAACAUCUCUGCGAGUCUGAGGGAUUUGUCCCCAUGUCAACCACGGCUCAUCAAACUGUCCUUUGAUGGUGGCUGUGAUUGCUUUGGAUGCUGUUUUUGUUGGAUAAAACCUAUACCAAAAAUAAAAGUCAAAUAUUAGAAUAUUACAUUAUUAUACAAUUAGGUAC
rnacentral:lncRNA from 1 species